rnacentral:rRNA from 1 species
UACGUAGGGACCAAGCGUUGUUCGGAUUUACGUGGCGUAAAGGGCGCGUAGGCGGCAAUUCAAGUCAUCUGUGAAAUCUCCGGGCUUAACCCGGAACGGUCAGAUGAUACUGCUUUUGCUAGAGUGCAGAAGGGGGCAACUGGAAUUCUCGGUGUAGCGGUGAAAUGCGUAGAUAUCGGGAGGAACACCUGUGGCGAAGCGGCCGCCUGGUUUGGAUACUGACGCUGAGACGCGAAAGCGUGGGGAGCAAACAGG